rnacentral:rRNA from 1 species
AUUGAACGCUGGCGGCAGGCUUAACACAUGCAAGUCGAGCGAGCGGCGGACGGGUGAGUAAUGUAUGGGGACUGCCCGCUAGUGGGGGAUAACUUCUGGAAACGGUGGCUAAUCCCGCAUACUAUCGGAUAACCCAUAGGGGAUUAGCUAGUAGGUGGGGUAACGGCUCACCUAGGCGACGAUCUCUAGUUGGUGUGAGAGGAUGAUCAGCCACACUGGGACUGGGACACGGCCCAGACUCCUACGGAGGCAGCAGUGGGGAAUAUUGCACAAUGGGCGCAAGCCGGAUGCAGCCAUGCCGCGUGUAUGAAGAAGGCCUUAGGGUUUUAAAGUACUUUCAGCGGGGAGGCGUUACCCGCAGAAGAAGCACCGGCUAACUCCGUGCCAGCCGCCGCGGUAAUUC